GAGGCAUUUAAUGGUAAGAAGUGGGAGAAAUUUAACAGUGAGAAAGUUGCUUCUCUGGCAUAUGCUCGAAUCCAGGGAAAGGCAGCCCUUGUGAACCACUUCCAGAAUUCAAGCUUAAUGAAUGAAGAUAAGCGCUGCCGCCCAAUUCUGUUCCACUCAGAGGGGCAGGAAGCAGGUGAUCAGAUUGUCUUCGAGCAUUUGCCCUCUAGCAGUUUGAACAUCCACUUUCAUCAGUCAGAUGGCUCACACUCUGGAGAUCCACCAGGAAGCCCUACAAUGGAUGGCUACGGUGAGAAGUCAGAUAAAAGUUAACAUUGUGUCUGCUGUAGGAGAUGGCCCUCAGCCUAAAAUGAUGGUGGCUGUGGGUGCUAACCCCUGCGUAUAUAUUCAAGUGUACAAAUUUAGAACGAGAGGAUUAGGAGAAAAUGCUUUUGCAGAUUUCAUAUUAUUUAGUGACUGCUUUUAAAGAGGCAGCAAGAGCAUUUUAGUAUCUGUGCUGAUUAGUGGUUUACUGUAAUUGGAGGAGAAUAACUUGAGGUCAAUGGGCAGAAGUGAGAUCUCUUGCUGUGAAGUGCAGUAAAGGGUUUGUGCAUGAAUUCUCUUCAUUUUUGUUUUUGGGGAUAUGGAUUUGAUAACUUAUUCUGCAAAUAUGAUGUGUACAAUGGUAUAAGGAUAGGUAUGUCUUUGGGGGUUUGAAGAUUUUGGGGGGUUUGGUGGUGUAACAUUGGGAUUUUUACA
rnacentral:misc_RNA from 1 species